AUCCUUUUGUAGCUCAUGAGCAUGAUGACUGGGUGUUCAAGCACGUGUGGGAGAUGUGCCACCCUUGAACCUUGUUACGACAUUGGCACAUUACCUGUCUGACC
ensembl:snoRNA